CCUUAACAUUUAACGUGGGCAGGAUUCUGCCAAGGUUUGGGAACAACCUGUUAGUGAGGAGACUCCUGAGCCCCCCAGUCAAUACCUUGAGGGAAAUUAGAAAGUCAGAAGUGAGGAGAAUGUCCCAGAAAAUGCCUGUUGUGCUUUGAACACAGGAUGUGGCCAUAAGGAAAAUCCUCCCUCGUUUCAAGCUCGGCUCCGUGGAUUUAAUAAUGGCAUUCCUUGGAAUCAGUGAAGUUGGUCACGUCCUCUCCCAUCCCACUCCUGUCCCUGGGAACAAGCUCCCAACCACCUGAUCCAGGAGCAAGGACCAUUCUCUGAAAAACGAGGCCCUUUUUAUGGCACCGGUGACAAGAUCCAGCUCUUUCCACGUCCCUUGGAAGCCCAGCCAGUCCUUUGGGCCAGUGCUUUGACUGCAGCCCAGCAUCACUGUGCCACAGAACCCCGGGGAUGUUGCUGGUGUGAGUGGUCCUUCAGGAACCCAUCAGAGGAGAGUUUUGACUGCUUCCAGUCAGGUAAGUCAGGAGCUGGGGCAGGAGGAGGCACCACAGCUGGGCUGGCAGCUCUGCCCUGGUGGGAUGUGGUCAGAGAGUGAAGGUCCAGCAGCAGG
rnacentral:lncRNA from 1 species